rnacentral:rRNA from 1 species
GACGAACGCUGGCGGCGUGCUUAACACAUGCAAGUCGAGCGGUAAGGCCCUUUCGGGGGUACGACGAGCGGCGAACGGGUGAGUAACACGUGGGUGACCUGCCCUCAGCUCUGGGAUAAGCCUGGGAAACCGGGUCUAAUAACUGGAUAUGACUCCAUGACGCAUGUUGGUGGGGUGGAAAGCCUUGUGCGGCUGAGGAUGGGCCCGCGGCCUAUCAGCUUGUUGGUGGGGUGANGGCCUACCAAGGCGACGACGGGUAGCCGGCCUGAGAGGGCGACCGGCCACACUGGGACUGAGACACGGCCCAGACUCCUACGGGAGGCAGCAGUGGGGAAUCUUGCGCAAUGGGCGAAAGCCUGACGCAGCGACGCCGCGUGAGGGAUGACGGCCUGUGU